rnacentral:tmRNA from 1 species
GGGGACGUAUGGUUUCGACAGCAUGCGGAGGAUCGGGAAGAGCGGGUCGAGGAUGGAGAAACCUCGAUAAUCCGGCUCCAAAAAAAUAAUCGUCAAAAACGAUUACGCACUCGCAGCUUAGUUAAAAGCAGCGCGCUCUCUGAGGUUUCGGCCGUUGAAUUUCAGAAGGGCGUCACAAUGACGGCUGGGAAUGCUUCAGCGUUUUUCGGAAGCGUUUCGAGAUUUCAGGAAAGACUGGUUUUCGGCAGCCUCGUCUUCGUGACAGCAGGAAACGAGAUUUAAACGAAGACUACACUCGUAGAGCCUCCCAGAUUGGCCCAUGUUGGACCGGGGUUCGAUUCCCCGCGUCUCCACCA